CAGAGAGUAGCGGAGGAGAGGUAGCAGCGCUGUCUCCCAAUUCUUCCCUCGCAGUCAGCCCCUGCAAUGUCUUCUCUACAUAGUAGCUAUGAAACUCAGUCAUUUGCCCUGCAGAAUUUUCUACACUGUGGAUUUGCCUGACUACACCCUGUGGUGCUGUUCCUCUAUCUUGUUCUGGCAAGGAAGAGCCAAGCACCGCAUGACUCUUGUAGAAGAUGGACUUUGCAGACUGCAAAAGGGGAAAGGAAAGGGGCGUGUGAUGUUUGUAGGUGCCUUGGUAGAAAGUCCCUCUUUGCCUAGAAAUUAUUUAGGCAUCCUUUUAUAAUGCUUCUGGAAGAACAGAAAGAAAAAUCUAUUUCCUGAAUGAGAUAAGGAUGCUUUUCAUUGAGUGUCAGUAUUGAACCAGCCCCAACUGA
rnacentral:lncRNA from 1 species